CAGCACACAGAUGCCGUGCGCAACCUUGCGAAGAUCCGCUGCAGUAGGCUCUUGCCCCCAAGUGCGACGUAUCCCUUGUCUUUCCCUCUCUCGCUGCGCAGAACCGCUUUCAGCCACCCACCCACCCCCCGACCCCAACAGCAACAGCGACCGUCGAUGUUCAGCACCACCGCUGCGGAUGCCUCCCUUGAGGCGGUGGACGCGGAGACGAUGCACGCCUUUCGCAUGCAUCUGGGAGACGUGCCCAGAGGCGCGAUGGCGGCAACAACGCAGGAGGCGCCGAGCACACCUGCCGGGUUAAAGGGGACCUCCUCGUCCGCCUUUCUGUCAAGCGCGUUUUCUGGUGUGACAGCCGGAUACAGCAAAGACGAUGCCGGCGCCGACGACGAAAUCCCCGAGUACGCUCUCCCCGAUGCGCAGUACAUUGAGCGCACGAUACUCCCCCUGUUGCUGCGUGGGUUGGAGGUGGUCGCGCAAGCUCGCCCGCCUGACCCACUCGCCUUCCUUGGUGCCUACAUGAUCUGCAACAACCCCCAGAAGCCGUCGUCUAAGAAUGCUCCAGCCUCGGCAAAUAGCCUUGAGAAAGCGAAGCCCACCUGUGUAAGUGCGCCGGCCGACGACUCCGCUUCUCCUGCGCUGGCAGAGGCAGUGAAGCAGGCCAUGAGCCGCUUUUCCGCCUCCAAGAGCAACACCAGCGCCGCCUCGAAACCUACCACGGCUGCCAGGUGCGCUCCUUCCGUGGACACGAAAAAAACCUAGCAGCGCUGCAAGUCGCACGCGUGUUGUCAUUGUGAUCCGGCUUCCCACCGUCCGCGCUGACUAGUGAUUUUUUUCGCGUGCCCGUUGCUUCUUUAUGUGUUAUCCACGAUGUACAAGAGCAGCGUCAGCGGCGGAUGCUGCAGUGCAGCGAAGAAAACGGAAAACACAGAGAGGUUGACCGCCCCCACGGUGUACUGGGCAUAUGUAUCGUCUCGCCCUGUAUCGCAGAGCUGGCGCCGCUGCGCCUCCUCCCUUGCUCCCGGAGAUGGUAUGCGCGCCUCUCGCCAGGGAGGAACGGGGCCACGCUCAGUUGCAGGAGUGCAUGCGCAUGCUUGCCGCGCACGCGCGAUAAGUGAAGGGGGAAAACGAGAAGACGAGCGGCGCUUUCUACACUCGCCAUGCUGCAUUACAGUGCCUCUGCGAUCAGAGACGAGCGAUUCAGCUUCCGCAUCGACUCCUACUCGCACAAAGCCCCACCAACGCCCAGCACCCACCUCAUUCCCUUCUCGGCCUUCCUCCCUGCCUUUUUUCUCUCCCGGCCUACUUUUCCUUCGUUGGUUUCCGUCCAUUUACCUCGGCACGUUAUGUGGCGUUGCCGUCCUCCCAUCGUCGUGAUCAUGAGCAG
rnacentral:misc_RNA from 1 species